GGCGGCGUGCUUAACACAUGCAAGUCGAACGAAGAGCGAUGGAAGCUUGCUUCCAUCAAUCUUAGUGGCGAACGGGUGAGUAACGCGUAAUCAACCUGCCCUUCAGAGGGGGACAACAGUUGGAAACGACUGCUAAUACCGCAUACGAUCUAACCUUGGCAUCGAGGAUGGAUGAAAGGUGGCCUCUAUUUAUAAGCUAUCACUGAAGGAGGGGAUUGCGUCUGAUUAGCUAGUUGGAGGGGUAACGGCCCACCAAGGCGAUGAUCAGUAGCCGGUCUGAGAGGAUGAACGGCCACAUUGGGACUGAGACACGGCCCAGACUCCUACGGGAGGCAGCAGUGGGGAAUCUUCCGCAAUGGACGAAAGUCUGACGGAGCAACGCCGCGUGAGUGAUGACGGCCUUCGGGUUGUAAAGCUCUGUUAAUCGGGACGAAAGGCCUUC
rnacentral:rRNA from 1 species